UCUUUGGGGUGCUUACCAUGCAAGUCGAACGGUGAAGCCAAGCUUGCUUGGUGGAUCAGUGGCGAACGGGUGAGUAACACGUGAGCAACCUGCCCUGGACUCUGGGAUAAGCGCUGGAAACGGCGUCUAAUACUGGAUAUGAGACGUGAUCGCAUGGUCGUGUUUGGAAAGAUUUUUCGGUCUGGGAUGGGCUCGCGGCCUAUCAGCUUGUUGGUGAGGUAAUGGCUCACCAAGGCGUCGACGGGUAGCCGGCCUGAGAGGGUGACCGGCCACACUGGGACUGAGACACGGCCCAGACUCCUACGGGAGGCAGCAGUGGGGAAUAUUGCACAAUGGGCGGAAGCCUGAUGCAGCAACGCCGCGUGAGGGAUGACGGCCUUCGGGUUGUAAACCUCUUUUAGCAGGGAAGAAGCGAAAGUGACGGUACCUGCAGAAAAAGCGCCGGCUAACUACGUGCCAGCAGCCGCGGUAAUACGUAGGGCGCAAGCGUUAUCCGGAAUUAUUGGGCGUAAAGAGCUCGUAGGCGGUUUGUCGCGUCUGCUGUGAAAUCCCGAGGCUCAACCUCGGGCCUGCAGUGGGUACGGGCAGACUAGAGUGCGGUAGGGGAGAUUGGAAUUCCUGGUGUAGCGGUGGAAUGCGCAGAUAUCAGGAGGAACACCGAUGGCGAAGGCAGAUCUCUGGGCCGUAACUGACGCUGAGGAGCGAAAGGGUGGGGAGCAAACAGGCUUAGAUACCCUGGUAGUCCACCCCGUAAACGUUGGGAACUAGUUGUGGGGACCAUUCCACGGUUUCCGUGACGCAGCUAACGCAUUAAGUUCCCCGCCUGGGGAGUACGGCCGCAAGGCUAAAACUCAAAGGAAUUGACGGGGACCCGCACAAGCGGCGGAGCAUGCGGAUUAAUUCGAUGCAACGCGAAGAACCUUACCAAGGCUUGACAUAUACGAGAACGGGCCAGAAAUGGUCAACUCUUUGGACACUCGUAAACAGGUGGUGCAUGGUU
rnacentral:rRNA from 1 species